CUAAUUUCUCCAGAGAGGGAACUAAACUUUUUACGGUUUGCACUUCGAAGGCAACCAGAAUAACUUAAACCAUGACAGAAUCUCUCCUGAAAUUGUGAUUUUGUUUUAACCAAACAGGUUUCUAAUUCUUUAAGAUCUUUGAGUCUACUGAGCUCAAUGGAUUAAGAAUAGACUGCAGAGUCAUCUACCUAAUUCUUAUAUUUAAUGUAAAUUUGAAUACCUAUAUUUUGGGCUUUUUUCCUCCUACAUUUCUAGUUCAGAUAACCUACUACUUUAGAAAACAAUUUUGCCAGCCUCUGAGAGUCCAAGUACAGGAAAGGGCAAAUCCUUGUAUUAAACUAUUCUUAAGCUAGGCCAGUAGCCCUUUCUUCUCAGGUCUCAUCUCCACUGGCUGCUGGCCUUUCGCUACACCUCUCCUAUUCGUUUUAUCAUUGGUAGUCUUUGACCCUCGCUGCUAUGUGGCCUAGUUUUCCUUUUUACCUGACAUGAAACAGCAUUUAUCAACAUCACCCUACAUCUCUUUCCGAGAAAUAACAGAAGUGGCUUUAUCUUUUACUUUCAAAACAGCUUGAAGGGUUUCUUAGCUGGCUACCCUGGGGCUUUCCACUGAAUUCCUUUUUUAUUUUCCUUUUUACCAACCUAAGAAUCCCUGCCCCCCUCCCCCCCUCAUAUUCUGGCGGGCUUAUGGAUGCCUUAAUUUACAACCAAAUUUGGCCUUUUCUAUAGCUGGUUUACAAACCUUCUCACUUUUGCAAAGCUGCUGGGUCAGAUGUGAGUCUGGGCUCCCAAAGACUACUGUUUUGGGCUACGCUUUUACCUUAUCACUGCAGAACUUUUUUUUUUUUUUUUAAUCUAUUUCAACGUUCUCUUAAGCCAUAUUGGGUGGAAAGAGGGGUGGAAGCUAUUUCCAGCAACAGCUCUCGAUUACUAAUAAUCAGUAUCUGCAAGCUGCAGCGGCGGAGUGGGGUCUUGGUUACAAAUUCGGGCUUCGGCGUCGAGCAAACCUUGCCCCAACGGGCCUUUGGUAAGUAAUUUAUUCUCCUCAGUCUCUUCAGGUCUAAAACGAGGACAAAACACAUACCUUUCAGGAAAGGGCGGUGUGAAGACUAAACAAGCCAAAAGAUGUUAAAAGUCAAGAAUGGGUAGCCCAUUAUAAUUAAUUACUACGAUUUUUAUGAUUAACCCCAGGCCUAAAGCCAGGUUUGCCCUAGAAGUUGGUCCUCCGCAGGAGACAAACGCCACCACGCUCAGGCCCGCCUCACGCAAAGCCUUUCCGUAAAGGCCUCGGUGCGCAGGCGCGCUGGCAUCUUCUAGCGCCGCUUGUUCCCAUCGUGGAGCCUGGGGCUCGCGCAGGCGCAUGAGCAAGGCGCGCACCGUGUGAGUAUCGCGCAGGCACCGCCGGCGGAACGGGCGUUGUCGUCCAAGUUUGCCAUGGCUGAGGCGUCCCGGUGGCACCUAGGCGGUGAGGGGUUCCUCUAGGGAGUGGGUGGGGCAGAGCAGAACGGGCUAUUGCAAAUAUCCUGCAAGGAAGUCUGUAGCCCCACGUGUAUUCACGUGAGAGAUGACCUCCAGAACGGUUAGCCGUCGCAGACUCCCCUUGAGAAGCGGAGAGGAACUGUGGACCCAUUUCACAGACAGGAAAAGUGAAGCCCUGAGGGAACAUCUCGCCCCUUGCCGGAAGCUGGAGCUGGGCGCUGCCACAUGCUGUAUAGUAGCCUUCUCUAGGCCGGCCUUAGAAAGCCUUUGUUGAUCUAGGGAGUAGUGGCCUUGGCAGAACCCCAGGCUAAGUCCUUUUACCCCCUCCAGCAGGAGCCAGCCAUCCCAAGAAGCAGAGUUAACAGGAGGAGGAAACGAUUAGGGACAGAGGAGGGGGUUUUGUUUGCUUUGUAUUUUGCUUUUUCAUUUUAAAACAAGACUGGUGAGGAAACAUCCGGGUUAUAAAAUUCAUUAUAUACGGUCAUAAAAUGAUUGCCCACUAUCACCAUGGGAGAAUGUUAGUAAUUAGUCCUUCUUCAUAAAAGUGAGAGUAAAAACAUAACCAGAAGCCAUUGGAGCUUUCCUUCACACAGUGUAAACAGCUAAAAGCGCCUGUGUUUUUCCAUCCCUAUUAGUUAUAUAUAUUAUAAAUUAAGGAAAAUUUUUGUUUUAUAUCUCACAGGAACUCCAAAACAUAAGCUGCAUUACAGAAAGGAAGUAGAAAUGAGAACCACACUUCAGGAGGUCUUACUCUACCUUAUUUUUUUAAUAAACUUAUGUAUAUUGACUUUUGGGAUGGUAAACCCACAUAUGUAUUACUUAAACAAAGUUAUGUCAUCUCUAUUUUUGGACACGUCUGUGCAUGGUGAAGAAAGAAUCAACUUUAAGUCUAUUCGCAGCAUAACUGACUUUUGGAAGUUUAUGGAAGGACCCCUUUUGGAAGGCCUGUACUGGGACUCAUGGUACAAUAACAAGAGUUUGUAUGACUUAAAGAACAGCAGUCGCAUCUACUAUGAGAACAUACUUUUAGGAGUCCCCAGAGUCCGUCAACUAAAAGUCCGCAACAACACGUGCAAGGUCCAUUCAUCCUUUCAGUCCUUGAUGAAUGAAUGUUAUGACAAAUACACUUCUGAAAAUGAAGAUCUGUCUGAUUUUGGCCUUAAAUAUGAUACUGAAUGGAAGUACUCUGCUCCUAUUAUCAACUCCCCUUGGCAUUGGGGAUUUACUGGUGUUUACCGAAAUGGGGGAUAUAUUUUCACUUUAUCAAAAUCAAAAUCUGAAACCCUAAACAAGUUCAUUAAUCUUCGAAUGAACAGCUGGAUCACAAGAAGCACUAGAGUUAUUUUUAUUGAUUUUUCAUUAUACAAUGCUAAUGUAAAUCUGUUUUGCGUCAUCAGAUUGGUGGCAGAAUUCCCUGCAACUGGAGGAAUACUUACUUCAUGGCAGUUUUACUCUGUGAAGCUCCUUAGAUAUGUUAGCUACUAUGAUUAUUUUAUUGCUUCCUGUGAAAUCACAUUCUGUAUUUUUCUUAUUGUCUUCACAACACAAGAAGUCCUAAAAAUAAAAGAAUUUAAAUCUGCCUAUUUCAAAAGUAGUUGGAACUGGCUAGAAUUACUACUUUUGGUGUUGUGUUUUGUGGCCGUUUUCUUCAACUUAUACUGUAAUAUACAAACUUCUCUCUUGCUUGGACAACUGUUAAAAAGUACUGAAAAAUAUUCAGACUUCUAUUUUCUUGCACACUGGCACAUUUAUUACAACAAUAUAAUUGCCAUAACCAUCUUCUUUGCAUGGAUAAAGAUAUUCAAAUUCAUAAGCUUUAAUAAGACAAUGUCUCAGCUGUCAUCAACCUUGUCCCGCUGUAUCAACGACAUAGUAGGAUUUGCCAUCAUGUUUUUUAUAAUAUUCUUUGCUUACGCUCAGUUAGGAUUUCUUGUUUUUGGAUCACAAGUUGACGACUUUUCCACUUUUCAAAAUUCCAUAUUCACACAAUUUCGUAUUGUUCUUGGAGAUUUUAAUUUUGCUGGAAUUCAGCAAGCCAGUCGUAUCUUGGGACCCAUUUACUUCAUCACUUUCAUCUUUUUCGUGUUCUUUGUCCUGCUGAACAUGUUCUUGGCAAUAAUUAAUGAUACCUAUUCUGAAGUGAAAGCUGACUAUUCAAUAGGCAGAAGGCCAGAUUUUGAACUUGGUAAAAUGAUUAAAAAGAGUUACCACAAUGCUCUCGAAAAACUCAAACUAAAGAAACCUGAAACAGAUGAAGACAAGAAAAGUAGGAAAAGCAGAGAUUUGGCUGAACAAGCCAGAAGAGAAGGCUUUGAUGAAAAAGAGAUUCAAAGUGCAGAGCAGAUGAAAAAAUGGAAAGAGAGGCUUGAGAAAAAGUAUUAUUCUACAGAAAUUCAAGAUGACUACCAGCCUGUCACUCAACAAGAAUUUCGAGACCUCUUUUUAUAUGCUGUGGAGCUGGAGAAAGAAUUACACUACGUCAGUUUAAAACUAAACCGAGUGAUGAGAAAGGUUUCAGCUCUACAAUAUUGAGGCAAGUGGAGUCUUUUCAGAAUAAGUUCAAGUGUUGCUUCCUUAGAUGGCUUCUUCUCCUUCUGAAUGACCCGGGAUUCAUCUUCAUUCUCUUCAUCUUCAUGGUCUAGAGAAGAGCCAAAGCUUUUUGGAAGAGUGUUACUACGUGGACGUGUCUGAGCCCAUAGCUCCAAUAUUCCCUGGGCUGGAAGAAGAUCAUUCCUGCCUCCUGAAAGGAAGCACAAGGAACUGCUGUAAGCAGGAAAUCUGUGGACCUUCAGAGUAUGGGGACGCUCCAGAGACAUGGCUCCAAAGAAUUUACGUGCCCUCAGAGAACAGGUUUCCUACCCACAAUUAAGAGAGACAAUGGCAUUAAUGCAAGUUUACCCCUGCCAACAGGCUAUCACCAAAUUAGUAAUGCUGUAUGGGACUUCUCAGUAUUUACAACUAGUCUCCAACUUCAUUACUAAUGUGUUUUUAGAAUAUCAAAUCAUCAUUCUGAAGAAAAUUAUAACACACUUCUUAGCAAUGUCUUAAAGAAUCAUAAAAAGAGUAAUGACACCCACAACCUACUUUAAAACAUUCUAGAAAGCUUCUGUUUAAAGGGACUUUAUCUAUCGAGUAACUAUGGGGACUACAUAUGGCUGAAAUACUCAUUGCCUCAGGGAUCCCCCUUCCAUUACUGCUGGUCAAGGACAUAAACAAGCACCAACUGCAUAGGACUGUACUGGGACACAUGGAGGAGUAGUUAGAAGGGGAACAAAAACAUCCCUACAUAUUUGUUGAUGCAACUAUGUUACAAACUUUCAGUUAGCUAUCCAUAGUUUCAAGACUAUGAAUUAACUCACUGAAAUGUAUUCAAAAUAUCAAUAAACUCCCAAAUUGUUCUACAAAUCAGCUGAAA